rnacentral:lncRNA from 1 species
GGUUGGUUUUUGUUCUAUGAUAUUUGUGUUCGGGUGUACCCCUAAUCAUCAUGAUCAGUAAAAGUCCUUGUAGAAUAAUCUUCUCCGUGCACAUUGUUUUGCACUUGCACACCCAUGGCAGGUGUCUUGGAGCCAGAUGAUGUUGUUUGUGCCGUCAGUCCAUGACAUGUGGUAACAAUCAGAUUCUGACAUCUGACCUUCAGGAAUGUGGUCACAUUUCCCUGGAUGUUUCCUGCACUGCCACACAGGGAACUGUGUGGCGAGAAUUUUGGUUCGGCAGUUUUAUAAAAGUUAUUUAAACUCCUCAGUGAUAGCCUGACUGAAAUAAUUCACCAUCUCAGUUUAUCUUUGACCAUAGGAUUGGGAAAUAAACAGAAACACAUGUACUUGAACUGACAGUGGAAAUGAAAAAUACUUCAUUGUCUAAUGUUCCUCCACUGGUUUUACA